GUUUGUGGUCAUACCUCCCUGUGAGGGCCCAAACCCAGCAGAUCUUGGCAGCUGAGCAGAGCUGGGCCUGGUUAGUAAUUGGAUGGGAGACCGCCUUGGAAAACCAGGGGCCACUGGAC
rnacentral:rRNA from 12 species